rnacentral:lncRNA from 1 species
UUUUUUUUUUUUUUUUUUUUAGAAGCCUAGCUGUAUCCCAGUGCAGAAUGGUAGGGAAAUUGCUGGGUUAGAAGAUUGGGAAAUUAGGAGUUGUAUUUUCCAUAUGGAUAUCUUAUUUUUUGCAUCUGUCAAAUGUGAUUCUUUUAGCCACCUGUGUAUCCCACAGGAAUAAUGGCUAGGUGCCGGUCUAAAUGUUGAAAGACGUUUUGACAUCUCUGACAAGUGUUGUUCAACAGCUGGGUUUGUAAGAUUCCAGUUCUGACAAAGGAAAAUAACUGGGCUUAUUACUCCAAAAAUAAAUUCCAUAUAGAUGUUGUCAUUUGUGGGAUUACUGCCUUACAAAGCAGACUUUAAAAUGUUUUGUGUUGUAGUGUGUUUUGUGCAUUUACACCUAAUCUUGGAGAGUUAGUUUCAUUUGAACCGAUGAUUGAAUAUGACUUUACAGGGGAAUGUUUUCUUAUAUUGCAGGAGACUCUGUUCUUAUUUGUGAUUCUGUGACAGAGUAAGAAUGAUGGUCCCAGCUUCACAGACCUGCACAGCUGUGCGGGGUGUGCUCUGUGGCAACACAAACAACCCAUUGGUUCAUGGAAUUCAUUUAAGGCUCUCACACUUAUCAAGUAGCUGGAGCACAGUGGUGCCACAUACAGAGUAUUACCUCAGAGAGAUGCAGCUUCUGUUGAAAGAGGCAGAAGAGGAGUUCCACAGGGCUUCCACAAUUUCUAGUGGGGGAAGGACCGCAGUGUGAUAUUAAAGGGUAGCCGGGAUUAGCUUUCUCACCCAACUGCCGACUACCAAGGAGAAAAGAGCAGAGGUUGAAUCUUUGGCUUGUUUCUCUUCUUACUCUGUGAGGAUCCCUAUCCCCUCUACUGAAUUUUUUUAAUGAGAAGGAAAAAUAGAGACUUGUAUCCAAUUAGUUUUAAUAUAUAUAUUAGUGCUUCUUCUGAACAGGAAAAUUUGUAUAUAGUAAUCAUAUACUGCCAGAUUAAAACAAUUUUAAUUUUAAAGAAGUGCUAAUCUUACAGUAUAAACUAAAGAUAAAGUAACCAAAAUUUGUGCAUAUGUAAUUUAUUUUUUACAAAAAUAAAACAAAAUUAUGUUUGUUCUCAUAGAACAAGGAAUUAAUUUGCAGUCCCAGCAUGAAGAUUCUGUAGCAACAGUAGAGACAUCUGCUCUCUCCAUGGUGUAAAGAGAUUCUGAAAGAUGGCUGGGAGCCCCAGAUCCUGAAUCCUGAAAUUUUGUCCUGCUAUAGGCCACUCCCUGCGAGGCUGUUGGGGAUAAAUGUGCUCGGGAGGCAAGGACUGUGGACACAGAUGCUGGAGAGGAGAGCUGAAGCCUCCAGCCUUGGUGAACUGCCCUGUCCUUCCCAUGAGGCACAGGAAGGGGUGAUAGAUCCUACUCAGCCCCUCCUGAAGGGGUGAUAGAUCCUACUCAGCCCCUCCUGUACCAUUGGAUCUCGGCCUUUGCCUUUACAGGAAGUAAAGCUGUGGCUAUAGUAAUAUCCUCAGACAUGAUCUGUUCCUCAUCAGCACACCCCUCUUAAAGGAGCUUCCUGCACUAGGAAGAAGGCAGACAGGUGCAUGCUUCCCUUAGCUCUCAAAAGCGGUCCCUGUACUAUUGGAAAGAAAACUUAUUAGAUCACUUCCGAAUUUUUGAUUGUUGGCAUUAGUAAAAUAUUUUCUAAACAUUAUACAUAGGGCAUUAUUAGGGACACCCAACUUAGAAAAUGUUUGUUUUACUUUGAGAGCCCCAAAUCCUAUUUUAGUAUAGUACUGGGCUGUAACUUCUUAUUCUUCCUGGUGUUUCUCUAAAUGCCUAUUCCAUCUUUUCCCUCUUCUCAUUAACCCUGUUACCUAUUUUAUAUCCUUUGUCCGCCAUCUUAUGUCUAUCUGGAUUUCUAAAGUUCUGUGGUUCCCAGCAGCCUGCAGGGCAGUGUGCUUCUUAACCAGUCACAAAGGCCGUCCACAGUCUGACUCCAGCUUACUUUCUGACUUUAUACUCUUUCUAUGAACAAAUUGCUUUUUACUCAGACUGGCUUUGGUCCCAUUGUUGACAGACUUUUGGCCUACUAGCCAGAUCUACAAAUCUCUUUGAGAUUUUAGGAAGGUAACUUUGCACAUAAUAUUUAAUUUAUUUCAGCCUCAGUUUUCUUAUUUAUAGGUUGGGAUUCAUAAUAUUCCCUUUAUAGGAUGCUUGUGAGUGUGGUAUCUGGGGUGCUCUCAUCCGUGUCCUCACUUCUGCCUGCCCAGCAUGAGCUCUGCAUGAAAGCACAUCAUAUGUCCUUGCUGAUGAAGUUACUGAACAUCAGAAUUCUUAGGGCCAAACCUGUGGCAUAUGGAGUUUCCCAGGCUAGUGCUUACAGCUCUUGAUUCAACCCCUAGCCUGGGAACCUCCAUAUGCUGUGAGUGCAGCCUUAAAAAAAAGAAAAAAAA